rnacentral:tRNA from 1 species
GUGUCGGUGGCUCAGUGGUAGAAUACUCGCCUGUCACGCGGGUGACCCGGGUUCGAUUUCCGGCCGACGCA